ACACGUGAGUAACCUGCCCCCGACUCUGGGAUAAGCCCGGGAAACUGGGUCUAAUACCGGAUAUGACCUCGCACCGCAUGGUGCGGGGUGGAAAGAUUUAUCGGUGGGGGAUGGACUCGCGGCCUAUCAGCUUGUUGGUGAGGUAAUGGCUCACCAAGGCGACGACGGGUAGCCGGCCUGAGAGGGUGACCGGCCACACUGGGACUGAGACACGGCCCAGACUCCUACGGGAGGCAGCAGUGGGGAAUAUUGCACAAUGGGCGAAAGCCUGAUGCAGCGACGCCGCGUGAGGGAUGACGGCCUUCGGGUUGUAAACCUCUUUCAGUAGGGAAGAAGCGAAAGUGACGGUACCUGCAGAAGAAGCGCCGGCUAACUACGUGCCAGCAGCCGCGGUAAUACGUAGGGCGCAAGCGUUAUCCGGAUUUAUUGGGCGUAAAGAGCUCGUAGGCGGUUUGUCGCGUCUGCCGUGAAAGUCCGAGGCUCAACCUCGGAUCUGCGGUGGGUACGGGCAGACUAGAGUGAUGUAGGGGAGACUGGAAUUCCUGGUGUAGCGGUGAAAUGCGCAGAUAUCAGGAGGAACACCGAUGGCGAAGGCAGGUCUCUGGGCAUUUACUGACGCUGAGGAGCGAAAGCAUGGGGAGCGAACAGGAUUAGAUACCCUGGUAGUCCAUGCCGUAAACGUUGGGCACUAGGUGUGGGGGACAUUCCACGUUUUCCGCGCCGUAGCUAACGCAUUAAGUGCCCCGCCUGGGGAGUACGGCCGCAAGGCUAAAACUCAAAGGAAUUGACGGGGGCCCGCACAAGCGGCGGAGCAUGCGGAUUAAUUCGAUGCAACGCGAAGAACCUUACCAAGGCUUGACAUGUGCCAGACCGCCUCAGAGAUGGGGUUUCCCUUCGGGGCUGGUUCACAGGUGGUGCAUGGUUGUCGUCAGCUCGUGUCGUGAGAUGUUGGGUUAAGUCCCGCAACGAGCGCAACCCUCGUUCCAUGUUGCCAGCACGUAGUGGUGGGGACUCAUGGGAGACUGCCGGGGUCAACUCGGAGGAAGGUGGGGAUGACGUCAAAUCAUCAUGCCCCUUAUGUCUUGGGCUUCACGCAUGCUACAAUGGCCGGUACAAUGGGUUGCGAUACUGUGAGGUGGAGCUAAUCCCUAAAAGCCGGUCUCAGUUCGGAUUGGGGUCUGCAACUCGACCCCAUGAAGUCGGAGUCGCUAGUAAUCGCAGAUCAGCAACGCUGCGGUGAAUACGUUCCCGGGCCUUGUACACACCGCCCGUCAAGUCAC
rnacentral:rRNA from 1 species